GUGGAAAAGGGAAAGGGAGAGAGGGGGAGAAGGAAAAGAAAAAGAACGAAGGGAAAUAGAGAAAUAGAGAAAGGGACCACAUGUGGGGAAAGGUUGGGGAGAAAAUGAUUAGGAGACAGAGACACCCAAACACGCAAGAUCUGGAAGAAAAGGGAAAUGGGAUUAUUUUCCGUUUUUUGUAUGACAUUUUUGGUGGGGCGGGCGGGAGAGGUGUGUUGUGGGUGACUGUUAUAAUUAAAGGUGUUUUCUGUGAAUUUGAAAAGCUAAAUAACGGUUCAGGAAAACUGAAGGGUUCCUAAGCCAAGCAAAAGAGGGGAAGCUGGGCGUCGGAGGAGCGAAGCCCUAGUGCUGGGUGGACGCCGAGCGGGCGGGAGCGCGGGGCGGACCCUUACUGGCGCGACGGAUGCUGGCCACCCCCAGCGCCCCCAGCCCCUGUCAUCCUACCGCCCGCUGGUAAAACCCGGCCCUUUCCCUCAUCACUCCCGGCAGUGCUUAUUUGACAAGAAAGUUCUCCUUGUGCUGUCGGUAGUGUGCAGCAUCCAGAGGCCCCUCUUGAGACUUCCGCGGCAUUAAGACUUUCUGAUUACUCCUAACUGGACACAGAAGCAGGGUCUAAGUGAGAUACUACUGGUUCCUACCCAUAAGUUAUUGAAGGUCAGGGGUCCCCAACCCCCUGCAGACUGGUAACAAUCCAGAGCCUUUUAGGAACUGGGCCACACAGCAGCAAGUGAGCGGCAGAAGAGCAAGCGAAGCUUCAACUAUAUUUGCAGAUGCUCUCCAGCUCUAGCAUCUGCACCUCAGUUCCACCCUCAGAUCAUUAGGCAUUGGACUCCAGUAGGAACACUGGUCCCUGGUACCAAAAAGAUUGGGGGCUGCUGCUCUAGGUACAUCCAUGUUGUCCCAAAUAGUAAGAUUUCAUUUAUUUUUAUGGCCAGGAAAUAUUACACUUCUUGUGCCACUUCUUCUUUAUCCAAUCAUUUGUUAAUGAGUAUUUAGGUUGCUUCCAUACCUUGACUAUUGUUAAUAAUGCUGUA